rnacentral:lncRNA from 1 species
UAUGAACUUUCACUUCUUGGACAAGUCAUCAUACUCUUUGUUGAUAUUUUCUUCAAGAUUAUUCUCUUGAUCAUCAUCUUUGGCUUUAUCUUCUCCAUUUUGAUUUGUAUUAUCUCUCAAAUCGAGUUUCUUCAUCUUUUUUUCUGUAAUUCUUGCAUCAUCAUCACUAAAAUCUCUAAAAUCUUUCUUCCUCGAAGAUAGAUCAUUAGUUUCAUCAAAUACAAUAUGGA